CCCCAGACCUUCAUCCUAAUCCUGAGAGAUGUUCUGACCAGACUGGGCCAAAGAGAGAGGGACCCAGAUGACACCAUCACCUCCACUGCCUGAAAUCCGAACACCAGCACGUUUCCAGUCGUAUGCUCCUGUUUACAUCAAGUACAAGGCAAUGCUGACAAUCAAAACAACUUUCAAGGGAACAAAUGAAAUGCCCCAACACUGAUUCACUUCUUCACACAGUGAAGCCAACCUGAAAUAUACAAAGUAAG